rnacentral:misc_RNA from 1 species
AAUCUUCUUCACCCAUAUAUAGAUGUAGAAAUGUUGACAAAUGCCACUCAGCCAGAUGAAAAUUUGUAAGGCAGUUGAUUGCAAUAUUCACUCAAACUUUUACUAGUGGAAUUUCAACUCAGCAGGAUAUAUGGAAAGGCUUUGCCUUAUAGUGGAACAAAUGGCAAUCUGUUUCAGAUGACUACGCAUAUAGAGAGGGAUAUGUUAUAGUGAACUCUAAACUAAAAUCGUGCAUAUGAUUCAAAAUAAAUGGAAUCCAUUCAUGUGCUAACACAUUUUUGAGCUGGGACUCAAUUAUAGACAACUUUGUUGCACCGGAACUUGGCAUCAGAUCAAGUCGAGACAAGCUACUUGAGACCAUGCGCAUGUUACAUGGUCUGUACAUUCCCCUGAGACUGAGUUCGAGACUUGGCUGCCCCUUCUUUCCAUCCUUUUUGACGCGCCCUCAUCUCCCAUGUAGCAGUCAUUUUCUUUUGUGCCAAUAAAAGAACCUCAGCUUUUUCCCUUGCCUCUUCACAUGUCUCCAUUCCAGAAUUGCAUUUGUCUGCUUCUUUCAUAUAUUGGGAUGUCAACUUUUUUGCUUCAAGAAGUGCCAUGUCAGCCUUCCGCUGAUUUUCUGAGGCUUCAGCUUCUCGCAGUUUAAGUUCCUCAGACAACAAAUCAGCAAAGUUUUUUUCCGUGUCUUCACCAACUUCUGGAUCACGCUUAGCACAAUCUGUCAAAGAAACAUUGCUCAAACCUGGGGGAAUAAAAAAGAAGGGUUCCGAAUUGCAGUCACAAUUACAAGGAGGGCAAGUAGUAACAGAAGAAGAACGGCUAACAGCAACUAAACCUUCCAUCAAGUGCCAAUACAAAGGAGGACCCAAAAUAUAGGCUGCCAAACUAAUUGCCAUUAGACCCAAUACAGAUUUCAACACCCUAGGACUACAUGGUGAUGAUCUUCCUGCUUGAUUCAACGCCAUUGGUCGUUCUGUUUGCUUUUUCUACUGGCCAGUAAACGGAGAAGUUGGAAAAAACAAUUUUGAGUUAAAUUGUUAGUUUUGUGCUUACUUAUGGAGACCAAUAGCAGAUGAAUGAGAGUGUGGAAGAAAGAUCAGCUGUUUUUUUUUCCUCCGCUUUUCAACUGCUGUGACGCGUUUGGGAAUUUAG